ACUAAACCUCUUUAUGGAAAAAGAUUACAAUCCUGCCCCUGGAAUUUUUAGUUCCACUUUUGCCCUGGAACAGGACUGUGAAUACAAAGGCAAAAUGUACAGCUCCGUGAGGCAGCUGCUGCUUUGCAUUACCGUGCGUCUGGAAAUCAUUAGUGUACAUGACAGAGAGCUUCAGGACCUGAGUCCUGCUUGCAAGUCCUUCCCCACCCCCUCUUCCUGUCUUCACAGCAGAGGUGCUGCAGCCCUCUGAGCAUCCUCGUGCCCUCCUCUGGACCCGCUCCAGCAGCUCCGCAUCCCUCCUGUCCUGGGGGCCCCAGGCCUGGGCACAGCACUGCAGGUGGGGCCUUCCAGGGGCAGAGCAGAGGGGCACAACCCCCUCCCUCUCCUCUCCCUGCUGCCACCC
ensembl:lncRNA